AACCUGGGGAAACCCAGGCUAAUACCGCAUACGUCCUACGGGAGAAAGGGGGCUUCGGCUCCCGCUAUCGGAUGAGCCUAUGUCGGAUUAGCUAGUUGGUGAGGUAACGGCUCACCAAGGCCACGAUCCGUAGCUGGUCUGAGAGGAUGAUCAGCCACAUCGGGACUGAGACACGGCCCGAACUCCUACGGGAGGCAGCAGUGGGGAAUAUUGGACAAUGGGGGGAACCCUGAUCCAGCCAUGCCGCGUGUGUGAAGAAGGCCCUCGGGUUGUAAAGCACUUUCAGCGAGGAAGAACGCCUAGCGGUUAAUACCCGCUAGGAAAGACAUCACUCGCAGAAGAAGCACCGGCUAACUCCGUGCCAGCAGCCGCGGUAAUACGGAGGGUGCAAGCGUUAAUCGGAAUUACUGGGCGUAAAGCGCGCGUAGGUGGCUUGAUAAGCCGGUUGUGAAAGCCCCGGGCUCAACCUGGGAACGGCAUCCGGAACUGUCAAGCUAGAGUGCAGGAGAGGAAGGUAGAAUUCCCGGUGUAGCGGUGAAAUGCGUAGAGAUCGGGAGGAAUACCAGUGGCGAAGGCGGCCUUCUGGACUGACACUGACACUGAGGUGCGAAAGCGUGGGUAGCAAACAGGAUUAGAUACCCUGGUAGUCCACGCCGUAAACGAUGUCGACCAGCCGUUGGGUGCCUAGCGCACUUUGUGGCGAAGUUAACGCGAUAAGUCGACCGCCUGGGGAGUACGGCCGCAAGGUUAAAACUCAAAUGAAUUGACGGGGGCCCGCACAAGCGGUGGAGCAUGUGGUUUAAUUCGAUGCAACGCGAAGAACCUUACCUACUCUUGACAUCCUGCGAAUUCGGUAGAGAUACCUUAGUGCCUUCGGGAACGCAGAGACAGGUGCUGCAUGGCUGUCGUCAGCUCGUGUUGUGAAAUGUUGGGUUAAGUCCCGUAACGAGCGCAACCCUUGUCCUUAUUUGCCAGCGCGUAAUGGCGGGAACUCUAAGGAGACUGCCGGUGACAAACCGGAGGAAGGUGGGGACGACGUCAAGUCAUCAUGGCCCUUACGAGUAGGGCUACACACGUGCUACAAUGGUCGGUACAAAGGGUUGCCAACUCGCGAGAGUGAGCCAAUCCCGAAAAGCCGAUCUCAGUCCGGAUCGGAGUCUGCAACUCGACUCCGUGAAGUCGGAAUCGCUAGUAAUCGUAGAUCAGAAU
rnacentral:rRNA from 1 species